AUUAAUGGCCCUUUGAUUUUAGAAACUUUUGGGAAAUCAUUCAUUGGAUCUAGAGAUGUGUUGUUAAAGAUUAAUUGACCAUUUCUCACUAAUUUCAUUGUAAGUUUCUGGCCUAAUUCCUCCAUUUAAUUCUUUUUUUCUCUCUUGUCUUUCCUAUAUUUAAGGGCUGAUUUUAGGCCUCAACUUUGAGCGCACAUUCCUUGUCUAUCGAAGGUCUUUAUGAUGGAUUUUGUUUUGAGAUUCCAUUAGUGGGCUCCAAAGGCUUAUUGUUGACAUAGUUUUGGCUCAGAGUUUUAUAAUUACAAUAUUUGUCUCAUUUUACUAGUAUUGACGUAUAAAAAUUUUGUUGAUCACGUAGUGACAUUUUAGGAUAGUGGAUCGAGAUAAAGCAAUUUAUAGAUAGUUCAAGAUUACAAUUUGGCAUCGAGGCAGACUUAGUGCUACUUUAGGAAAUUUGAGAUAGAAAUGUGACCCGAACCUUAACAAAGGAUACCCGUUAUGGCCAUAGAUACAUAAUCUCUUGGAUUAUAGAAAUGAUGAAUCGUAGAUCUAUGUUAAUGAUCAUUUAGUGUAAUGCUUACCAUUUGAUCCUUGUAUUGAUUUUAUGCUCUUGGAUCAUAGUUUCUUGAAUUAUGGUGCUAUGUCAUGCUACUUAUGUAUUAUUGAUCCUGAGGACAUGGUUAUGAUACCAAUUAGACUCCAGGUGUGUUUUUAUCCGUAAUUAGACAUAAUUCUUGUUUAUAUAUGCUUAGGGCUUAUGGUUGUAUUAUUUUGAUACUGGUGAUGGCGUAUAUACUUUUAGAUUCCUUUAUGCUCACUUAGUGGUAUGAUUCAAACCAAUUCCUUAAUUUUACUAGUAUUUCUUAAUAAGGCUUUAUUCCUACUUUUCACUCUAAAAAGGAAUUCUUUACAAUGAGAAUUGUACUAUCUUUUUUAAUGAAUAAUGAUAUUUUAAAACUAAAUAUGAUACAUUGGAAAUUAGACCGAGGUUGAUUAUGGUCCAUUAUUAAUCCAAUAUUUUACCACUACUAUUUUUUUAGGUUGAUGGAUAAUUUAACCUUUUCUAUGCUAUUAUUUGGAUUUAGUCCCAAACCUAACAUCAGGCAAUGGAUUCACAUAUUUACCCUCUUUUAGUUUUGAUUUGAGUAUGAGCACUUAAUAUUUAUAUCAAUCAAGUAAUGUAUGGACUAUAUUAGUUAUGAAGAUUAUUAGAAGUCCUAUUCAGGAUCAAACAGUAUAUACAGAUAUCAUAAGUCCUCUAUGGUCCCCUUCAUUCAUAAAACAUAGUGUCGGAGAAGGAUGCUCUUAGUAGGUCCUACAUUUAGGAACUAUUGAAUUUAAAGAGGUGCAUAUAAUAGGUACAUUAUGGAACUCGAAUUUGUAUUUGUCAUUAUUGGUUUAUAUUGAAUUUAUUCACUCAUAUGCACUACCUAUUACCAAUAUUGUUGCUUGGUGCUUAUAUCUAUCAGCAUUAGAGAGGUUAUAUAGGUAUAAUAAAUUAUUGUUGUUUGUUUCCUGCUUGCUUUAACCUUUUGUCCUUAUGGGGGACCGAUUAGGUUAGUGUUUGUUUGAAAUAGUUGGUUUAUUUGUUGUUUGUUAUUAUGGUUAGGUUCAUGGCAGGUUUAUUAUGGAUUGGUACUUGAUCUUGUCAGUAUUUUUAUAAAUUCCUUUCUUUCAUAGAGUAAGAUAUGUUACUAUCAUGACACGAACAAGGGCCUGGUCACGAUAGGCAUUUCUAACAUGACUGAGAAAACCUAGCAAUGGAUGAAUACAAAUAUAAAGAAGGACAUGAAAGAUAAACUUAAAGGUCUAUAUACAAAAAAAUCCAAAUCUAACCACAAUAUGGAAAUCCAAUACCAAAUAACAACCAUAAUAACCAGUAGUCCGACAAAGAUCUAACAAAAAAUCCAGUACCAAUAAAGUGUUGGGAUAUGCCUUAGGCCACAGGCAAAAAAAUCUGAGAUAAAGUCUAUGACAUAAGAAACCAAACAUGAAAAGAUAUCUUUCAAAGGAUGGAAGCCCACUACUUCAAGUCAACUCACUAACCAACCACAAACACCUAAUCACUGUACAUGAGGAAUAGAAGUAUGGUCAGUUCCUGCAUCGCAUGGGGAUACAACAUCUGAAAAUGAUUAGCAAUUGGAGCGCUUGCAUGUAACUCAGGUAUAGGGCAAGAAAUAAUGCCAUUCAUACUAAUCCAAAUAGUCAAAAUGCAAUGCACAUAACUAUAUGCAAAUAAAUAUAUGUAUAUAUAUAUAUUGAGAUGACUCGAUCGGGGGUUUUGUCAAAAUGGGCAUCCCAUGUCCAUUGGGAUCGGAGACCACCCCCGUUAACCAACCCAAACUCCAACCGCCUGCCCUGAGUUGGCUAAAUAUUGGGCAUGCAAGAAGAUAGUGUAAUAUCUCACAUGAAGAAUUUGGGAUAGGAUCACAACCGUGAUCGACCCAACCAAUUCCAACCAUCUCAUACAAAUAAGCCAACCAUCCCAUACCAAUAAUCUAACCAUACCAAGCCAAUAUCAAAACAAGGGCCAUAAACUAAGUCAUAACCAAAGAUGUUCAAAAACAUAAUAUAAUUAACUCCAAAAUAAAAUACGAUGGAACAAUGAGAAAUUAUGUCCAAUGAUGUCAGCCCACCAACUUAUUCCAAUGCCAAGGCCGACACAAACAUCGAUCCCGCCCAUUCCAACAAAUAGUCGUACCAUAAAGCCUAUAACCAAAAGAGUAAUAAAAUCCAAUUGGGAUAUUGAUGAGUAGUGAUUUUAUCACUCACACACACUCAUUAUUAGUGAACAUUGCCUUGUUUUAAAUUAAUAAAUGAUAUAUAUUCGUGAUUAGAUGCACUCAUAUCCACUAUUUGCAAGCAUAUAGUUGAGAAGAUCAAAUGAUAUAGAUCAAAGCAUAAAAAUAAUUAGAAUAGAGCAGUAAAAGUGCAGCUAAAAGCUUGGACCAAAAAAUUGCCUCUAAACUCGAUCACGAAAGUCAUGCAAUAGCUAUCCACCCCUGGUCAUGAAUGAAAUAUGCGAUCACAUAACUGUGAUUUCAGCCAGACUUGCACGAUCGGGGCUCACAAAAAUGUUCAACCCAAGAGAAAAUACGUAAUUGCACGUGUUGAUCCUAAUGUGAAUAAAAAGACUCAAACCCUAGUUUCAUGGAUCAUUCAUUGCAUCACAUUCCUUCUUCCCUAAUUUUCUAGGUUUUAUCUUGAGACUUUGUAUCCUCUAUUUUUGGAGAAGAAAAUAUUGUAUAAAUUUUUGGUGAAGAAUACAUUGGAGACAUUUUAAGUGGAAGAUUUUCUCACUUUCAUUUUUUGAUAUUGUGGUAGAGCCAAGUUUCAGGUAACAUUCGCUUAAAUCUUCAACAAUUCAUUUCAAUGAAAAUUAUGGGUAUAUCUACGCUUAUUUAUCUUAUGUGUAGCUAAAUCUCCCUCUUGGGGUUAUGUGUGAAUACGGAUUUAAGUGUGUAUGGGUUGUUAUUGUUAGCAUCUAUUUGGUAGUUCAUGUUUAUGGGUUCUAUUAUUUCUAUGCUAGUUUGGUUGGGAUUUGAUGGGUGAAAUCUCCAAAUACCCAUAUGGGCUUGAUGGAGAAAAUCUCCAAGCUCUAGAAAACCUAAGGCCAUCAUUGAAAGAAUAGUUUUGGGUGAAGUUUAGGAAUCUAUAUCAUCCUUGAAAGAGGGAUGUGGAGACUAAGACAAUGAUAGACAAUUAUGUGUGUAGUUUGCUAAAUUAUCACUAUCUGAGAAAUAUGGAUGAAAGUGGGGUUGGCUAUGCCUUGGGUGUUAUCCUAGAAAUAGGUAUGCGUUGAUUGAGGUUGUGUUUUCCAAUUGUUGAACACACCUAUUAGGUAUUCAAAAGAAUCAAUGGGUGAAAUUUUGGUGUUUUGUCGAAAGACUAGCAUCAAAAUCUAUAACCAAGCCUACCCAUAUUUGAUUUGCUAAAUUGAUUUUGAUUAUUAACCCCCAUAUGUUACCCCUUUACUAACACAUAAUCCCAUGAUUCGUGCAUAAUUAUUAAUAUUCUAAUCAUUUUUAUCCCUGAAUUUAUACUAGAAAAACCGAAAAAAAAAUAUUAGUUUCGGUAGUCACCUCCCCCAUUUUAAUUCCUUGUAACAUUUGUUUGAAUUUAACUUGCAUCUAUCAUUUCAAAUUAAUUUGAUCACCCCUCACAUUGUUCUUCGUGGAUUCGAACCCAACUCCAAAGUUGGAUAAAUAUUUUAACGACAAUCACAUUUCACUUAAAUUAAUGUGUAAGUGGAGCAUUAUCAAGAAUGGAGCUAUUGCCGGGGAACAAUUUGGUGUAUUAAGGUAGUUUGGAAUCUUAGCUACUAGCUCAAAUUCAGGUGUAUAUAUGUGUUUGUGAUUUUUCUUUUUAGGUAUAUUUUAUUUUAUUUUCACUUUUUUAUGGUGGAAUCUUCUAACAAAUAUAAGUGGAAUGACUAGAAGUCAUAUCGUAACCCCACAUGCUCAUAUUAGUAUGGACCAUACUUCAGGAGAGAUUGUAAGUAUGCUCCCCAGGGAGGGAUUUCACAAUCUCAAUCCGAGUGGGAGUAUGAUUGCCCCAUGUGUAGACAUCUAUAAGUACAUUGGGAAGAUUGUCAAAACACCUCCUCUCCCUGUUAUGCUAACUGAGUUGCUAGAUAUUUUUAUGAUCUUGGUAGGUCUUAUGAAGGAAGAAAAGAGGAAAAACUAUCCAAUGCCAUAGGUCUUGACGCAAUGCUCCAAACUAUUUUAGACCAGUGGAAGUAAUGAGGGAGAAUCUUGAAGACUUAACAGGAAAGGCAAGGGAAUCAGGAAAGGACGUAACACUUGGAAAUAUCAUAACAUUGCCCAUUCCCCAGGAUGAGGUUUCUCAAGAAGAGAAACCAAACUAUAAUAAAG
rnacentral:lncRNA from 1 species